GGGGCGGCCGCCAGCUCCUCCCGCCGCGACGCGGCCGUUGGCGACCGUUAACGGCCGCUGGCCGUGCGCGUGCCCGUGAGGCUGUCGCUGAGGAGGGGGUGACAGGAGGGCUCGCCCUCGGCGUCUGUGAAUCUCGUCUGGAAUGGGGGCGAUGGGUGGUGAAACCCGCCGUGCUGGACGGGCAGAGAGGGCAAAAGUGCUGUUUGCUGGUGUCUUACGUACAGUUACUGAGGUGUGAAUUGCUCCGCUGCUGGAAAUCAAAUUCAGGCUGCCGGCUUUCCCACAGGCUACAAGAGAUAGACAGCAGGCUGUGACUGAGGACACACUGCAGCAGAUGAGUUGCAAAGUUUCGAGGAAAGCUCUGUUCUUAGAAUAGAAUCACAGAAUCAUUAAAGUUGGAAAAGACCUCCAAGAUCAUCUGGUCCAACCAUCACCCUACCACCAAUGUCACCCACUAAACCAUGUCCUUAAGCAAAUGCAUAGCACAACUGCUCUGUAACAUACAGUCCUUUAUACACCCGUUUAAAUGUGUGUGUGGAAGAAGAAGGAUCAGAAGGUGUACUCUAACACCAGGAGAGGUAUGUGGCCUGCCAAGGUGCAGUGGCAGAGGAUACAUAGUUUAUCCCAUAACUACAUUUAACUUACUACACAGGUGAUAUACUGUUGAUGUUGUGGUGAACACUUAGUUAAUAAAAGUACAAAUAGUCAUGAUAAAUACAAAAUCAUAUUGUAAAAUGAAAAAAAUGUUUUGUUUUGUUUUUCAUUAGGCUGCUGAAGUGUAUGUCCUUGUAAUAGUGUACAUUGGCAGUGACCAAAAAAAGAAGCACUGAUAUCCAUCCAGCCAUAAAUUAUGUAAUUUAGCUGAGUGACAUUAAAUAUAAAUGGGUAAGAUCA